CAAUCGCACGGACAAACAUCAGAUCACGCUUACAGCACUAGGACAGGACUUAAACCAGCACGCAGGACCGCCCGGUUAGCGGGAGAACUUCAGCUCAAAGAUGAGCAGAUCAGGACACAAGCUCAGGAACAACGCUCACUUUAGUCUGGAGCUACAUAUAAAAACACGUCUGACUGGAGCAAAAACUUCCACGAUCUCUUCAUCACGAGGAUAACGUCUGCACACUUCCUACACUGCAGGGAUAAUCAAACACAGAUGAAGCAGCCUGAACUGGAGCCGUCUGCAGUUGAGUAUGAAGAUCAGACGAGGAGCAUCACCAUCAGCAUCACCAUCAGCCUCCCUCACAGUCUAACGCUGCAUACACGCUUCUCCUUAACACGGAUUCAGUUAACACAGCUUUAAAAACCGCCCUGAUUAUUAGCAUAAGAUAUAACACAAAUAUCAGAAAUGCUGUUUUCCUUUAGAACAGCCAGGCUCCGCCUCCCUGCUGCUGGAAUUACAAGACUAAACCGAGUCCCACGUUCACACUUACGACGCUGAUGGACACAGACUGGCGUCAAGGCAUUUCCCAUCUAAUAUUUCAUAAAAAUUGUGACCCAGUCACAGCUUGACUUAUUCUAGCGAUGUGUUACACCACAGGAUGACAGAGAAAAAGUACUGACUGGACCUGUAUAAUAAACACCCUUACUGUUACUGCAACACGGGUUUCUGUAAUAAACACACAGCUGCAGCCUGA